CUUUCCCUAAAUCCCUUCAGGCCACAGGCAACGGAAUCUGCCUGUGUAUGGUGGGUAAAAGAAGAUCCAUCUCUGCCUAGGUUUUCAAAACUGCCUGGAGGCAUCGUGUAUUAACUCUGUUAUCCCCAAGGGGAAAUUGGUGUCCCAAGAAGAACACUGGCUUUCCAGAGAAGUUCUGUGUGUGCACGUGAGCAUGGGAUCUCUUAUGCUGCCAUCUGAGACUAGUGGGUCUGUUGAGCUUCAGAUGGCCCAGAGCUGAUUUUCCUGGCACAGUGUUCAGUUUCCCCUUUGCCCACUCUGUUGCCAAGUCCCUGCUCAGAGUUGGGCAGCUGAGCUUUCAUUUGAUUCUGCCAGACACCCAAGGCCCAACCCCUCAUUCAUGUAGAGUCACCCUUAGCUGGUCUGGGGCCAUGGAAGAGCCGCACUGAUCCUUCCCCUCUUACUUAUGUGCCUCUUUGUAUAGAGGCAUGGGAUUUGCUGUGGUGUUCCAUGCCUGCCUAUGGCCAGGAAGAACUGGGAGGAGAGUCAUCUAAAUUCUUG
rnacentral:lncRNA from 1 species